UACAGAGGUCUCAAGCGUUUGUUCGGGAUUCAUUGGGCGUAAAGGGUGCGUAGGCGGCGCGGUAAGUCGGGUGUGAAAUCCUGGAGCUCAACUCCAGAACUGCCUUCGAUACUGGCGAUCUAGAGUCCGGGAGAGGUGAGUGGAACUGCGAGUGUAGAGGUGAAAUUCGUAGAUAUUCGCAAGAACACCAGUGGCGAAGGCGGCUCACUGGCCCGGUACUGACGCUGAGGUGCGAAAGCGUGGGGAGCAAACAGG
rnacentral:rRNA from 1 species